rnacentral:rRNA from 1 species
GACGAACGCUGGCGGCGUGCCUAAUACAUGCAAGUUGAGCGCUGAAGGUUGGUACUUGUACCAACUGGAUGAGCAGCGAACGGGUGAGUAACGCGUGGGGAAUCUGCCUUUGAGCGGGGGACAACAUUUGGAAACGAAUGCUAAUACCGCAUAAAAACUUUAAACACAAGUUUUAAGUUUGAAAGAUGCAAUUGCAUCACUCAAAGAUGAUCCCGCGUUGUAUUAGCUAGUUGGUGAGGUAAAGGCUCACCAAGGCGAUGAUACAUAGCCGACCUGAGAGGGUGAUCGGCCACAUUGGGACUGAGACACGGCCCAAACUCCGACGGGAGGCAGCAGUAGGGAAUCUUCGGCAAUGGACGAAAGUCUGACCGAGCAACGCCGCGUGAGUGAAGAAGGUUUUCGGAUCGUAAAACUCUGUCGGUAGAGAAGAACGUUGGUGAGAGUGGAAAGCUCAUCAAGUGACGGUAACUACCCAGAAAGGGACGGCUAACUACGUG